AUCCUGGUUAGAAGGAGUUUAGGCGCAUGCAGACAGACAUUGUGUUUUGAGGACGUCUUAGUAGCUCCGAGAAAAGUCAGCGUUAGUCAAGGAUGCUCGUAAGUCAUUGCUGCAGGCAACUGUCAUCUCCUUGGGAUCCCUCUGGACCGCAAAGGUUUUAAACACAGAAGAGAAAGAGUCUGAGGAGAGGGAGUCGGUUUAACUGAUGCUGAGCCCUGACCUGCGGGAAGAGCUCGCUGGCAUUCACAGGCAAUUUGUUUCCUAGGGAAACUCCAGGAGCAGAGAGCAGCAGGCUAUGCAGAAUAACCGCUGGCUGAUGGGACACACCGGGGAGGACUGCCUGGUACUGAGUGCAGCAAAGGUAGGCAAGGGCCUUGUGUUCCAAAGAGCAGCUUCCUCCAGGCUGAGGAGCCUUGCACACAGCCUCGGCAGGCCAGGCAGUUUCUUGCUUGUUGUCGCCUUAGCUCCUGCUGGCUGCUGCUGCGGACUUCCCCAGGCAAGCGUCCACAAUAAACGCUGCCUGCCUGGAGCUGGAGAUCUCACAUGUUAGCUCAGGAGUGCUGAGUUUCAUUCUAGGACAGUCUUAGGGGAAUCUAAGAGGUCCCUCUUCGAGAAUGUUUGGACAACACAGCAGGGGGGGCAGAGGAAACCCAACUCUUAUGUCCUCUAAACAGGGGUCUGGAAGUCAAUUCUGGGGGAGCCACCGGGGUGUUAGGUUCAAGGUUCCCAGACAGAAUCCAGCUGGUAGGAUUCAAAUAGGCACACAUGGGAUAGGUGCCCUGCCCUAUGGGGUUUCCCCGUGCAGCAGACCAUGGCCGCUGAGUCUUAAGUCCGACUCCAGCUUGGGUUAUAGGGGAACGAACAUUCAAGGAACCUGUCCCUGCCUCGCCCACUUCCAGGAACUGUUUAUGUUUCAGACAAUUCCUGACCCUGCCCAGGACUCCUGUCAUAGAGUGGCAGAAGGACACAAAGAUUUGGUUAAAGGGACAGCCAGGAAAGUCUGUCAUUCUGUUGCAAUUGUACAGGGAAUGCUAUCUGGGUCAGGCAGGCUGGUGUUCUUUGCAUACUGAGCUGAAUAGGGCAAUAGCUCUGUGGGUUUUUCUGUGCCCUGACCCCAAAGCUGAUUUGGACACCUUCCCUCUUCCCUGUCUCAGUCUCCUGCAUGGGUGCCAACUUCAUCUUAGCUCUCUGACCCUAUAGAAAAAGCUUUAUGAGUUUCAGGGGCGGUGCGCAUGCUGACACACAUGGAUAAUCCUCCAACUGGGGCAGCCGAGGCAGGGAGCCGGUGAAUGGGGAGGCCAGCCUGGGUUACACAGUGAGAUCCUUCCUGAAAUGGAAAAUAAGGGACACACACUGCCAAGCCUCACCCAGCAGUCAGUCAGUGAUGGCUCACAACUCCACGGGGCUUGCUACUACUCUAUUCAUAUGGCGCGGUGAGCCACAGGCUCAACUGCAAGCAGCAGAUGCGGGGUCCCGAGCAUUCUCCCAGCUGCAUGCACUCAAUAGAAACUUCCUAAAGCUCCGAAAAACCGAAACCAAAAUGGAGUGAGACCCAAACAACAACAACAACGACGAUAGUUCUACCUUUCUUUGGGUCCCAUCAUCAGUCAUCAUCAUCGUCAUCAUCACCAUCAGCCACCACAUUAGGGAAAAUAAGCCCCGUUCCUUAGACUCAACGAGACAAGCCUCCCAGGAGCCCUGAAGUCAACAGAAGGUGCAGAUAUUUUCCCUCUCAGCGCCACCCUCCCCCUAUCAGAGAGUGGACUGACUCUCCGCCCUUGCCCUGGGAACCAAGAGGGACCAGACUCACCUCCUGUCCCACUUCUUGUCUCUCCCAGGCCCUGCAGCUGCCCUCCAAACCAGUCUACCUUCUAAACAGCCUGUGGGGAUGUGCUAAGACUGGAAGGGGUCACUGGCGGGCUCAUUGUUUAUGGGCUCCAUAAAACUGACAUUCAGAGGGAGGGGGGAGGGGGGACACACUUCCUUUAUGACCCAGGAGGACAAUAAAGUUAUAUGAUUAACAGUGA
rnacentral:lncRNA from 1 species